rnacentral:lncRNA from 1 species
AAAUAUGAUCCUAACUGCUGUCUUUGGCAGAGGGAUGCCAAUUAGCAAUGAUCUGCAUUACUGAAAACUGAAGAAACCAGCUUUCGAAGAACCCUUGUCACUAUCUCCACAUAUAUUCCAAUAAUAGAUCCAUUUGCUGCCAGGAGGAUACCUGAUACAUAGUCUGAUUACCAGGAGAUACAAGCGCCUGAUUCUUCACAGCUUGGAAGUGGAUACAGCUAUUUGCAUAGAUUAUUCCUGGUC